AAUCCAUGAUGAGGGCAAUCACGUUCAUACUCCUUAAAACGUUCCCAAGCUUCAUAGAAAGAUUGAGUUGACCCCUGUUGAAAGGUUGAGAUCUUCGUUCUCAAAUU
rnacentral:snoRNA from 1 species